rnacentral:tRNA from 1 species
GCGCCGUUAGCUCAGUCUGGUAGAGCACUGGCCUCUUAAGCCACGUGUCGGGGGUUCGAAUCCCUCACGGCGCAC